rnacentral:tRNA from 1 species
UGGCUCAGAGGAUAAAGCAUCUGCCUGCAAUGCAGGAGACCCAGGUUCAAUCCCUGG